CGGGGCGCUCGACAUAAUGUACGGUAAUCUGGCAAUAGUAAAAGUGUACUGGCAUUGUUGUAGAGGGAAAUUGAAGAAUCUAGCGGCGCUUCAAAAAUCGAACUCCCGCUCAAGUGUACAAAUGAAGUGUAAGCCUGUUGUACGACCACCGCCACCACACGCCGCCGGAAAUCUAUAACAACAUUCGCCGGAAAAUAAACAGCCUGCAUGGACGACGUGGAUCGCUUGUUUCAGUGCUUCAAAUGCGGAAUCUCUCCUCCGCAAUCCGCUGUACGAGAGAAAAGAAAAGAAAAACGAAAAUUAAAGCAAGAGCGUUCACCACAACUACAGGCAUCCACGAUUUCUGAAAAGAAGUCUGUAAAUUCUAAAACAAAUGGCAAACAGUUCUCUCCAGUUGUAUUCUAUGGUUCUCCACACGGAGUUCCUCCGAAAAGGCCAGCUCGUUUGCUGCGAUUGCUGCACGAAAUUCGUGUCGAUCUCGCUGAACAAAAUAAGUUGAGUUUUUUUGGCGUUUGUCUUAGGAAGGAGGUCUGGAGUACGUUUCCGAGACAAGAUGAAGCAAUGAAAUUCGCAAAACAGCAUGUGAAUGAUCGUGUUUUCAGUUACCAAGAUCAUAUGAAUGGUCAGAGGAGAUUUCUUGUUUCUACAUAUAAGGAAUUUUGGCAAAGGUAUAAAGAAAUGAAUUCUAAAUUUCGCCACCAUUAUGAAGUAAUUCAAGAGGGACGACCAUGCCACCUUUACUUUGAUUUGGAGUUCAAUAAGAAAGGAAACAUUGAUAGAAAUGGAGAUGAAAUGGUGGAUCUCCUGAUUGUUGUCAUCUUUGAUGCUUUCCUUGAGAAGUACUCUAUCCUAGGAACUGAAGACUACAUUGUAGAACUUGAUUCAUCAACUGAAGAAAAGUUCUCUCGCCAUUUGAUCAUUCGCUUACCAAAGACUGCAUUCAAAGACAACUCACAUGCUGGUGCAUUUGUUGCCGAGAUAUGUGCACGCAUUCAGAGUUAUAGAGAAAGAGAUGAAAGAUUUGAAAAACUAUUUGUUUCCAAGGGCUCAAGUUCUGCAGAUAGUCACUGCCAGCUUUUUGUGGACACUGCUGUCUAUUCUAGGAACCGUUGCUUUCGACUACCCUUGUCAUCAAAAGCAGGGAAGAGCGCUGUUCUCCUACCUAGUGGGCGUUUUAAAUGCAAGGACAUGGAUGAAGAAGAAGUAUUUAUGGCAUCCUUGAUUUGCAACAUGGAUGCUGAUACUGAGAAACUUCUGAUUUGCAAAAUGGAUUUAGAAUGCGUAAAGGCAUUGCACUUUGAAACUGAGAUUACCAAUAAUAUCCAGAAAUAUCCUGGUUUUCCUGAAAAGUUUGAUCUGAAUGCCUGUACAAGUGAUGCUUCAACAAAUUACUUGAUGGGGAAAUCACCAUACCCAGCUUUGGAUGUAUUUGUUGAAGCCAUUGCCUCUAGCGGAAAUGUACCAGGAAAAAUUCGAAGCUGGUACUGGUUUUCAGAAUAUGGACUGAUGGUUUAUAGCAUGUCUAGAAAUAGAUAUUGCGAACGAAUUGGCAGAGAACAUAAAAGCAAUCAUGUAAUUUAUGUAGUUGAUCUGAGAAGGGCUGUUUAUUAUCAGAAAUGUCAUGAUCCAGACUGCCAAGGCUGGCGGAAUCAGGUUAUCGAUCUCCACUUCGUCCAGUCCCUGACGAUGUUAUUCCUGAUCCUGCACUUAUGUUCAAUCUUGAUGGAGACAAUUACAGCGAGGAGCAGACCAAACCUACAGUUGAUGGAAGUUUCACAGACAGUUGCAAGAAAGAGUGGUGGCAUGAAGCUAUAAAAGUUGCCGAGCAGGUUGAGAAGAUACAGAAAGCGCUAGACCUUACUCAGAUGGAUGAAACUUGCGAAGAAGAUGAAAGUUGGUGGAUGGCUGUUGAAAACACUGCACACCAAACUGAAUUGGCAUUCCUCCAGAAAGUCUAGCAAUCAGCUGUGCUAUUUCUGUAAGUGAUGUCUGAGUUUCCCCAUUUUACAUUCACGAAAUGGUCCAAUCACCAGCAGUUUAAUUGUGCAAUUUAAAAAGCUUUGUUGAGGUGACAGGUUAAAUUAAUUCCAACAAGUUUUCCAAUGAACUUACUGCGCCUUUGAUUCUGAGCCAGCAUGAGAAUGGCGAUGAAUUUGGAUUGAUCAUGGUUCUAGGAUUUGGUUAUUGUAUUGUGCUUUUCAAAUUUUACACGUCUAUCGUUCCUGAAACUGAGAUUGGCUCAAUGCAUUAGGCAGCCUUCACACGAGGAAGCUGAGUCGGUUUUUAUCUCAUCAUCUUGAUAGGCAGCAUGCCAGAUACUUAGCUUGCUUUGUAACCAAGUUUACUAUAAUGUGUACAUAAGUGAAUGCAAUAAUUACUUGAGAAAUGAACUGGUUCCUGCAGUAUCCUGCGAUACUUAACAAGCUAGGCUAUUU